rnacentral:rRNA from 1 species
UGGGGAAUAUUGGACAAUGCGGGCAACCGUGAUCCAGCAAUGCCGCGUGAGUGAAGAAGGCCUUAGGGUUGUAAAGCUCUUUUACCAGGGAUGAUAAUGACAGUACCUGGAGAAUAAGCCCCGGCUAACUCCGUGCCAGCAGCCGCGGUAAUACGGAGGGGGCUAGCGUUGUUCGGAAUUACUGGGCGUAAAGCGCGCGUAGGCGGCUUUUCAAGUCAGAGCUGAAAUCCCGGGGCUUAACCCCGGAACUGCCAUUGAAGCUGAAAGGCUAGAAUGUUGGAGAGGUGAGUGGAAUUUCGAGUGUAGAGGUGAAAUGCGUAGAUAUUCGGAGGAACACCAGUGGCGAAGGCGACUCACUGGACAAGCAUUGACGCUGAGGUGCGAAAGCGUGGGGAGCAAACAGGAUUAGAUACCCCUGUAGUCC